GGUUGAUAUUCCCGUACCGGCGUUGAUGCGACCAUGCUGAACCUGGUUCGUGCUAACCGUCCGAUCUGCAUUCGACUUUCGGGUUGGGUGUGGGGAGCGCGGGAUCCCGGCUGGUAGUAGGCAAGCGAUGGGGUGACGCAGGAGGGUAGUCCAGCCCAGGUGGUGGUUAUCCUGGGGCAAGGGUGUAGGGCGAGGUAUAGGUAAAUCCGUAUCUUAUGUGCCUGAGACCUGAUGCCGAGCC
rnacentral:rRNA from 1 species